rnacentral:rRNA from 1 species
UACGUAGGGGGCGAGCGUUGUCCGGAUUUAUUGGGCGUAAAGAGCUCGUAGGUGGUUUGGUAAGUCGGAUGUGAAAUCGUCCAGGCUCAACCUGGAGGGGUCAUUCGAUACUGCCAUGACUAGAGUUCGGUAGGGGAGUGUGGAAUUCCUGGUGGAGCGGUGAAAUGCGCAGAUAUCAGGAGGAACACCCGUAGCGAAGGCGGCACUCUGGGCCGGAACUGACGCUGAGGAGCGAAAGCGUGGGGAGCAAACAGG